UUGUGUUUUAAAAAAAAGGGCUUCUUCUUCUCUCUUUUCUCUGGAUUUGCCCAAAAGCCGGUGACCUCCCCGACCAGUCACCGCCGUAGUCCGCCGCUGGCACCGUCGCUGGCGACCGCCAUGUCGGAGGUAAAUGGGCGCUGCUAGUGUCAGACAGUGGCGGUGGACGUGACAGGCGGUGGCAGACCUGGCAUGGGCGGUCAAGCUAGGGUUUCUUCUUUUUGUUUUUGUUUGAGGUAUUGGGCUAGGGUUUGGGUUUUGAUUUGUUUGGGCUAGAGCUGUAAUGGGUUUUGGGCCCAGUCAAAUUUGGGCCGGUACAAUAAUUAUAGGAUAAAUUACAUCAAUAAUAAUAUCAAUAUUAGUAUGUCA